UAGAAGCCUUUGCAGCCACGCAAGUGGUAGAUCUAGGCGACUUUAAACAAUUCUAGGAUCGCUAUGCAAGUCGGCCCACGCAUGUGGUGCCGGGCGACACUUUCGAAUUGACGGGGAUACCCUAAAGCCUGUCGCACCAACUCUGUGUGGGAAACCGCUGGAGGGCCCGUGCUAACUACACGGGGUGGUAACAGACGACACGGAUACCUCCACGCCUUUUUUGGUGUAGAUACCAUGGGCAAUCCGCAGCGAAGCCUCUAAGUCCGGCCGCCGGAUAUGAGGAACGUUCACAGACUAAGUGGAAGUGGGUGGAGCGUUCGCCGCUCUGCUUAAGAUAUAGUCGGUCCCCUUGGGAAACUAAGGGGGUGAGUACACUGCUCGAAAUUUAAACUUGAGCGCAUCUCGGAUAGCGCUCGUGUUAGAAUUUCGGGACCGUCGAUUGCCUCGCGGUUCGACGGCUCUUAAAACGUUCCGUAGGUGAACCUGCGGAAGGAUCAUUACAGAAAGUAAACGCGGAUCAAACCGCGAACUUUUAAACCUUUGACGAUUGACUCAUGUUGCCUCGGCGGGUUCUCUCGCCAGAGGAUACAUCAAAACUCCUGUUUUAACGGUGUUGUCUGAGCUACAAGCAACGAAUCAAAACUUUCAACAACGGAUCUCUUGGUUCUGGCAUCGAUGAAGAACGCAGCGAAAUGCGAUAAGUAGUGUGAAUUGCAGAAUUCAGUGAAUCAUCGAAUCUUUGAACGCACAUUGCGCCCCUUGGUAUCCCGAGGGGCAUGCCUGUUCGAGCGUCAUUUCACCACUCAAGCCUGGCUUGGUGUUGGGCGACGUCCCCUUCAGGGACGCGCCUCGAAACGCUCGGCGGCGUGGCACCGGCUUUAAGCGUAGCAGAAUCUUUCGCUUCAAAAGUUGGGGCCCCGUCUGCCGGAAGACCUACUCGCAAGGUUGACCUCGGAUCAGGCAGGGAUACCCGCUGAACUUAAGCAUAUCAAUAAGCGGAGGAAAAGAAACCAACAGGGAUUGCCUCAGUAACGGCGAGUGAAGCGGCAACAGCUCAAAUUUGAAAUCUGGCUCUUUCAGGGUCCGAGUUGUAAUUUGUAGAGGAUGCUUCGGCGUGGGCUCCGGUCUAAGUUCCUUGGAACAGGACGUCAUAGAGGGUGAGAAUCCCGUAUGUGAUCGGUUGCCCUUGCCAUGUGA
rnacentral:misc_RNA from 1 species